CUGGAGAGGCGGACAUCCCACUGCUUCUGGGAGUUGCUUGAGGGGGUGAUUUUUGAAGCCUGUGAAAAUGGAGAGAGAAGGCCAGUCAUGUUAGAGAGAGGACAAGCUUCCCCACAGGGAUUUGAAGGAUUUCAAAACACUUCAGUAACUCCAAAACAAUGGAGGGCAGCAGCUAGGCAGCAGAUUUACUCUUCCCUUCACCAGCACUUCCCCUUCCACAUCUGCCACAAUUAUUGCAACUCCUUUCCUCCCCCAAGCCACACGUCACAAGCACCUGCCAAUCCUGAUGCAUCAGCAACGAACAAAGCAUGUCUAGUCAGGGCCGGCUCCAGCUUUUUUGCUGCCUCAAAUGGCGAAGAAAAAAAACAAAAACUGAGCAGCCGCUGACGAGUGAAGAGAGGGAGUGAAGGACCUGCCGCUGAAGACUCAGAUGUGCCGCCCCACUAACAGAUGGAGUGCCGCCCCUUUCUAUUGGCUGUCCCAGGCAUCUGCUUCCUUCACUGGUGCCUGGACCCAGCCCUGUGUCUAGUGUUACAGCCUGCAGGUUUUAGUAUCUAAUCUGA